rnacentral:snRNA from 1 species
AGAUUUGCACAGUGGCAGUAUCGUAGCCAAUGAGGUAUAUCUGAGGCGCAAUUAUUGAUAAUUGAAAACUUUUCCUAGUACCCCACCAUGACAACUUGAAAUAUAGUCAUUGGCAAUUUUUGACAGUCUCUACGGAGA